ACUCUUUUAGUAUAAAAAAUAUAUUUAACUUCCAAUUAAAAGUUCUUAAUAAAGAAAGAGUA
rnacentral:tRNA from 1 species